rnacentral:rRNA from 1 species
GGCGAACGCUAGCGGCGCGCCUAACACAUGCAAGUCGUGCGGGAAAGGGCUUCGGCCCCAGUACCGCGGCAGACGGGUGAGUAACACGUGAGUAACCUGUCCUCGGGUCUGGGAUAACCACCCGAAAGGGUGGCUAAUACCGGAUAAAGUCACCGGGCGCAAGCUCGGUGAUGAAAGGGGGCCUCUGCAUAGCAGCUCCUGCCUGAGGAGGGGCUCGCGGCCCAUCAGCUAGUUGGUGGGGUAACGGCCCACCAAGGCUAUGACGGGUAGCCGGCCUGAGAGGGUGGUCGGCCACACGGGCACUGAGACACGGGCCCGACUCCUACGGGAGGCAGCAGUGGGGAAUCUUGGGCAAUGGGCGAAAGCCUGACCCAGCGACGCCGCGUGGGGGAAGAAGGCCUUCGGGUCGUAACCCCUGUUCUGGGGGAAGAACCCUGGCUGGGUUAAGAGCCCAGUCAGGCUGACGGUACCCCAGGAGAAAGCCACGGCUAACUGCGUGCCAGCAGCCGCGGUAAUACGCAGGUGGCGAGCGUUGCCCGGAAUUACUGGGCGUAAAAGGUGCGUAGGCGGCCGGACAAGUCGUAGGUUAAAGCCCGGGGCUCAACCCCGGAAAGGCCUACGAUACUGUCUGGCUUGAGGGCUGGAGAGGCUGGCGGAAUUCCCGGUGUAGGGGUGAAAUGCGUAGAUAUCGGGAGGAACACCGAAGGCGAAGGCAGCCUGCUGGGGCUGUCCUGACGGUCAGGGACGAAAGCUGGGGAGCAAACCGGAUUAGAUACCCGGGGUAGUCCCAGCCGUAAACCAUGGGCGCUUGGCGUCGUCCUCGUGGCGGUGCCGCAGCUAACGCGGUAAGCGCCCCGCCUGGGGAGUACGGGCGCAAGCCUGAAACUCAAAGGAAUUGGCGGGGGCCCGCACAACCGGUGGAGCGUCUGGUUCAAUUCGAUGCUACCCGAAAAACCUUACCCGGGCUUGACAUGGUGGGAAACCCUUGCGAAAGCGAGGGGUGCCGUCCUCUGGACGGAAUCCCACCACAGGUGGUGCAUGGCCGUCGUCAGCUCGUGUCGUGAGAUGUUGGGUUAAGUCCCGCAACGAGCGCAACCCCUGCCCUUAGUUGCUACCCCGAAAGGGGAGCACUCUAAGGGGACCGCCGGCGAUAAGCCGGAGGAAGGUGGGGAUGACGUCAGGUCAGUAUGCCCUUUAUGCCCGGGGCAACACAGGCGCUACAGUGGCCAGGACAAUGGGAUGCGACCCAGUAAUGGGGAGCAAAUCCCCCAAACCUGGUCAUGGUGCAGAUUGAGGGCUGAAACUCGCCCUCAUGAAGCCGGAAUCGGUAGUAAUGGCGGAUCAGCUAAGCCGCCGUGAAUACGUUCUCGGGCCUU